AGCGUGAUGUGAACUUAUUAGAAGAGAACAAUAUAGAAAAUUGGUUUCCAAAAAUGUGAGAAAUUCCUAUGGUAAUACAUUUUGAUUGAGAUCUUAAGAAUAUGUCAGCCCUUUCACGUAAUGAUCCAUGCUAUGGUAAUACAGAAAUCUCAUAUAAAGGAGUUACAUAGCUGAUAUGUGAUUUAUCAUGGGACUCAUCAUUGACAGCUAGCAUCUAACACACUGUAGGUUAUCGGUGAGAGGAGGGAUGACAAGUGUGUUGUUUUAUGUGGGAGAUUUUGGGGUAUUUUUGGUGCACAAUCAUCCUCACCUUCGAUUUCCGAGAGCGCAGGU
rnacentral:lncRNA from 1 species